ACGUACACUCCUACGGGAGGCAGCAGUGGGGAAUAUUGGACAAUGGGCGCAAGCCUGAUCCAGCCAUGCCGCGUGAGUGAUGAAGGCCCUAGGGUUGUAAAGCUCUUUCACCGGUGAAGAUAAUGACGGUAACCGGAGAAGAAGCCCCGGCUAACUUCGUGCCAGCAGCCGCGGUAAUACGAAGGGGGCUAGCGUUGUUCGGAUUUACUGGGCGUAAAGCGCACGUAGGCGGACUAUUAAGUCAGGGGUGAAAUCCCGGGGCUCAACCCCGGAACUGCCUUUGAUACUGGUAGUCUUGAGUUCGAGAGAGGUGAGUUGAAUUCCGAGUGUAGAGGUGAAAUUCGUAGAUAUUCGGAGGAACACCAGUGGCGAAGGCGGCUCACUGGCUCGAUACUGACGCUGAGGUGCGAAAGCGUGGGGAGCAAACAGGAUUAGAUACCCUUGUAGUCCCAUG
rnacentral:rRNA from 1 species